CAAUAGCGUAUAUUAAAGCUGUUGCGGUUAAAAAGCUCGUAGUUGGAUUUCUGUCAAGGACAACUGGUCCGCCCCUCGGGUGAGCACAUAGUUUGGUCUUGGCAUCUUGUUGGAAACUGUUGCUGCACUUGGUUGUGUGGCGCAGUGUCCAACACUUUCACUUUGAGGAAAUUGGAGUGUUUCAAGCAGGCACAUGCCUUUGGACACAGUAGCAUGGAAUAAUUAGAUUGGGCUUUUGCUCCAACUUGUCGGUUUCUGGAGCUGAGGUGAGAAUUAAUGGGGAUUGUUGGGGGCAUCCGAAUUUAGCCGUCAGAGGUGAAAUUCUUGGAUCUGCUAAAGACGGACAACUGCGAAAGCGUUUGCCCAGGAUGUUUUCAUUGA
rnacentral:rRNA from 1 species